UCAGUCACAAAUUAUCAAAUUUUAAGUCACAAUUAUAAUUGGUUACAAAUUAAUCAAAUAAUUGGUCACAGACACUAAGCACUCUACCCUACCCCGAUCCCACCACUAACCUUCCACAAUUGCAACCACAGCAUCAACACACACCAUUGAACAAAUUGUGAGCCACCAUAACCUCACUAGAACUACCAUGACGUCACCAACACUGAAAUUGCCGAAGCCACCACCUCAAAUCCACAUAUAACAAUAAUCACAACCACAAACACAACCACA
rnacentral:lncRNA from 1 species